rnacentral:rRNA from 1 species
GAGUUUGAUCGUGGCUCAGAUUGAACGCUGGCGGCAUGCCUUACACAUGCAAGUCGAACGGCAGCAUGAUCUAGCUUGCUAGAUUGAUGGCGAGUGGCGAACGGGUGAGUAAUACAUCGGAACGUGCCCUGUAGUGGGGGAUAACUAGUCGAAAGAUUAGCUAAUACCGCAUACGACCUGAGGGUGAAAGUGGGGGACCGCAAGGCCUCAUGCUAUAGGAGCGGCCGAUGUCUGAUUAGCUAGUUGGUGGGUAAAGGCCCACCAAGGCGACGAUCAGUAGCUGGUCUGAGAGGACGAUCAGCCACACUGGGACUGAGACACGGCCCAGACUCCUACGGGAGGCAGCAGUGGGGAAUUUUGGACGAAUGGGCGAAAGACCUGAUCCAGC